AGCGAACGCUGGCGGCAGGCUUAACACAUGCAAGUCGAGCGGGCGUAGCAAUACGUCAGCGGCAGACGGGUGAGUAACGCGUGGGAACGUACCUUUUGGUUCGGAACAACCCAGGGAAACUUGGACUAAUACCGGAUAAGCCCUAACGGGGAAAGAUUUAUCGCCGAAAGAUCGGCCCGCGUCUGUUUAGCUAGUUGGUGAGGUAACGGCCCACCAAGGCGACGAUCAGUAGCUGGUCUGAGAGGAUGAUCAGCCACAUUGGGACUGAGACACGGCCCAAACUCCUACGGGAGGCAGCAGUGGGGAAUAUUGGACAAUGGGCGCAAGCCUGAUCCAGCCAUGCCGCGUGAGUGAUGAAGGCCCUAGGGUUGUAAAGCUCUUUUGUGCGGGAAGAUAAUGACGGUACCGCAAGAAUAAGCCCCGGCUAACUUCGUGCCAGACGCCGCAGUAACAC
rnacentral:rRNA from 1 species